UACGGAGGGGGCAAGCGUUGUUCGGAAUUAUUGGGCGUAAAGAGUAUGUAGGCGGCUAUUUAAGUCAGGCGUGCAAGCCCACGGCUCAACCGUGGGAUUGCGUUUGAAACUAUUUAGCUUGAGUACAGGAGAGGAAGGCGGAAUUCCCAGUGUAGCGGUGAAAUGCAUUGAUAUUGGGAAGAACACCGGUGGCGAAGGCGGCUCACUGGGUCUCUUCUGACGCUGAGGCACGAAAGCUAGGGUAGCGAACGGG
rnacentral:rRNA from 1 species